rnacentral:lncRNA from 1 species
AUUGGCUAGAGUCGGCCGUCACGCUCCAGCUACGCCACUUCCUUUCCGCGGCACUAUAAAGAUUGCUGCACGGCGGCAGCAUCUCUUCGCCCCUCGGAGCUGGAAAUGCAACUCUUGGGAUCUUUGGAGGCUAAGGAGCUGGAGGCGGAGGCGGCUGGGGAGGUCCGAGCGAUGUGACCGGGCCGCCAUCGCUCGUCUCUUCCUCUCUCCUGCCGCCUCCUGUCUCCGAAAUAACUUUUUUACUCUAAAGCAAGGGGAAAAAAAGUAGCCGUCCGCCCCUCACACCCUCCCUUCCUCUCAGCCCUCUGGUCUGUGAGGGAGCCCGGGGUGGCCGCUCCGCCGUCGGGGCCGCGCCGCCGAGCCCCGGCCGCCCCGGGCCGCCCCCGCCCGCCGCCCCCAUGCAUCCCUUUUACACCCGGGCUGCCACCAUGAUAGGCGAGAUCGCCGCCGCGGUGUCCUUCAUCUCCAAGUUCCUCCGCACCAAGGGGCUCACGAGCGAGCGACAGCUGCAGACCUUCAGCCAGAGCCUGCAAGAGCUGCUGGCAGGUGAGCGGGUCGCGGCUGGAGGGCGCGGGCACCCGGGGCGUCGGGGUACGUGGGCCUCACAUCCCGUGUCGGACCGGGCAGUCCGCGCCCCUGUCCCGCGGCAGCACCUAGGUGGCCGCUAACGGCGGGUCCCGGCGAGGGUUUGGGGGCUGGAGUCGAGGGCGCCCCCUCACCUCGGCUUGCCAGCCAAGGGGGAGAAGAAACCAGACGCACAACAAAGAAACUAAAGCCAACGAGGCUGGAGUCGCGGUCCUCGGACCGUCUGUGGAUUUGGGGACAAAGGAGCCGCGGGGCUGGGGUUGGUUCGACGUCCCCUCCCCCAAAGUCCUCCAACCGUUGCGGGGUCUGCGGCCCGGCCCCGGGGUGGGAAGUGGCGCCGCUGCCCGGAGCUAGCUCGGGAUCGACGUGCCGUCUCUCCGCACCUCCUGCCCCUGCCCAUUAAUCAUCGGAUUUGUCACCGGCACAAUUACAGCCCUGCCCUGAGCGUGGUUUAGGGUUUCUUGUUUUUCCUCGCUUCGGGGUUAAUAGUCCGGUGCGUUUCUCUUCUCCAAAGCCAUAAACUCCAUUGUGUGUGGCUGGGGUGGGGUGGAGAAAGUAAACAGGUUCCCGCCUGGCCGUGGUGUGGUCCAGCGGUCCGGCUCCCCGGCUGGCCAAGCUGCGCGCCUGUUCUUGUUUUGGCGGCUCAACCGGUUGGUUCCUGGAGCUUGUUUUGUCCCACACUGCUGUGUUAUUUCUAAAACCCUGCCCGCUUUUUCUCCAGUGUCGCGCGCGCACAGCAGUGAACACAAUCCUGCACAUUUGUAGAAGUUGGUAGUUUUCAUAUUCGCUCUUCAAAGGAGCUUGAAGGAGGAAACUGAGAAGCUAACAGUACCGAUCUAAGCAUUGUUUCUCUGUUCUUUUCUUCUGUAGAACAUUAUAAACAUCACUGGUUCCCUGAAAAGCCGUGCAAGGGAUCAGGUUACCGUUGUAUUCGCAUCAACCAUAAAAUGGAUCCUCUGAUUGGACAGGCAGCACAGCGGAUUGGACUGAGCAGUCAGGAGCUGUUCAGGCUUCUCCCAAGUGAACUCACACUCUGGGUUGACCCCUACGAAGUGUCCUACAGAAUUGGAGAGGAUGGCUCCAUCUGUGUGCUGUAUGAAGCCUCACCAGCAGGAGGUAGCACUCAAAACAGCACCAACGUGCAAAUGGUAGACAGCAGAAUCAGCUGUAAGGAGGAACUUCUCUUGGGCAGAACAAGCCCUUCCAAAAACUACAAUAUGAUGACUGUAUCGGGUUAAGAUAUAGUCUAUGGAUGGAUCAUCUUAUAAUGGAUGGAUAAAUUUGAUUUUUGCUUUGGGUGGGCUCCUCUUGGGGAUGGAUUAUGGAAUUUAAACCAUGUCACAGCUGUGAAGAUCUGGCACAAGAUAGAGUGGUAAAAAAAUUUUUUUAAGUGACAGUGCCAUAGUUUGGACAGUACCUUUCAAUGAUUUAAUAGCCUGUGAGUCCAAGUAAAUGAUCACUUUAUUUGCUAGGGAGUGAAGUCCUAGGGUGGUUUCAGUUUCUCCCAGACAUACCUAAAUUUUAACAUCAAUCCCUUUAAGGAAAAUCUGUAUUUCAAAAAACCUUUCUCUGCAGUAGAUCUUGCAGAGGAAUUUGCACUAUUACACUUGAAAAUUGUUGUUGAUAACCUUUUUGGCAGCUCAGUAGGAAAGCUUGUUUUAAACAUGGUAGUACUGGAAAUUUUACAAGACUUUUACCUAGCACUUAAAUAUGUAUAAAUGUACAUAAAGACAAACUAGUAAGCAUGACCUGGGGAAAUGGUCAGACCUUGUAUUGUGUUUUUGGCUUUGGAAGUAGCAAGUGACCAGAAUCUGCCAUGGCAACAGGCUUUUAAAAAAGACCCUAAAAAAGACACUGUCUCAACUGUGGUGUUAACACCAGCCAGCUCUCUGUACAUUUGCUAGCUUGUAGUUUUCUAAGACUGAGUAAACUUCUUAUUUUUAGAAAGUGGAGGUCUGGUUUGUAACUUUCCUUGUACUUAAUUGGGUAAAAGUCUUUUCCACAAACCACCAUCUAUUUUGUGAACUUUGUUAGUCAUCUUUUAUUUGGUAAAUUAUGAACUGGUGUAAAUUUGUACAGUUCAUGUAUAUUGAUUGUGGCAAAGUUGUACAGAUUUCUAUAUUUUGGAUGAGAAAUUUUUCUUCUCUCUAUAAUAAAUUGUUUCUUAUCUUGGCAUUUUAAUCAAUCUCUUGUCAUGAUUAUAGAGGUUCAGCUAAAUACUUUUCUUAAAAGACUUAGGUCCUAUAAGGUAUCUUAGUUGCACACUGGUCAUGCUGUAAAAACAUUGAUGAGGAAUGAGGGUGAUCACAUCAGGGUGAUCUGUCUAUACAUAUUUAGGUGUUAGAGAAAACAGAAGUAACAUUUUUUAAAAUCUUGAGUCAAAACAUGGACACAUUCACAGGCUAAUGAUCUCAUGAAAUGAGGAUAAAAGACAAAGGUGUUACAUCUUCCAAAAAAGGGAUAUUCAAAGGAUUAUAUUUCAUUGCUUCCCUGUUGAAGUGAAGAUAUAAAUGUUCCAUUCUGCCCACCUUUGAGAAACAGUUAUUUUACCCCAUGGAUUUCUUGUUCAAUUAGAAAAUCCUAGGGCAGGUGAUCAAUAGUCUUAAGAGAACAGGCUAAUCACCUCAGAGAGAUGGGUUGCUUUUUGGUUUUCAUCACCUGCAAGAUUUACAUAAAAAUCCCUUAAGCUGGAAUUCAACAAAAGGUAUGUUUAUGAAUUUUUAUUCUCAAAAAAUUGAAAUGCUGACCUUUUCCUCAUUUUUCAGACUUAUUUCAGAAAUUCUAAAAACCUAAAUGAAUAUUGAGGAUGCUGUAUAGGUUAGUUGCUCCCUGUCCCACAUAUUAAAGACUCGGUGGAAAUUCUUUGGUUUGAGAAGAUAAGAAAGGAAAUUUAAAUGGAAAUUGAAAGUGCAGAAAUUGGAAUUUUGCUCUACAGUUAAAUAAACAGUGACUUUGGGCAGGGGGAUAUACAUGUAAACAUUUACAUUGGAAAGAUAUUAAUACAAUUUGAAAUACUUGAAUGUCAAUAAUCACUUGAAGUCAGUAAUAACAUUGAGAAUUUUUUCCUACGUGUAAGAUUAAAUUUUCCCAAUUUGGUAGACUAUACCAAAAUACACUGCUAAACAUACCAUGUGUUUAGAAUACAUGUUAUUUCCCUGGACAUUAGCAGGUCAUUUCAUGGAAAUUUGAAUUCUUACAACCACAAUACAUGGAUUAUUCUUGGGAAUUGUCCGGUUUCUAUUUUUCAGUCAUUUCAGUGAAAAUAUCCUCAGUGUUUGAAGCUCUAAUUUACGAUAAAAACAACAGUUUUAAAAAGGGUCUCACCCUAGUGUUGCCUGCUGUUUAUUAACUGCAUAUCAUCCAGUAACUCCUUUGAAGCUAAUUAACUGAUACAGUUUUGAAUAUUAAAUCAAUGGAACUUAAAAAGUAAGGAUGACUUCUAGACACUUGAGGAAUAUAUUUUCAGUACCAAAAAUUUUUUUCCAUAAAACCUUUUCUCACACUUUUUGGUAUUUAAAGAAAAAAUGGUGAGAAGAUAACAAAAUGCUUAUUUUGGAAUAGAGGUGAUAUCUGGUAUGUGAGGGGCUAUUUAUUAAGUUCCUCUUUAAAAAAGGCAUGCAAACAUCACUCAUAUUUAACAUCCAGCUGUUUCCUGUAACUUGAACCUUAUAUUCCCCAGGCAAUUGAGCCAAGCCUGUGUCUAUAAUACAGUAGCUGUUUGAUAUUUCUUGUUCACUGCUUGUGGGGAAUGUUUUGCCUAGCUAUUUUGACAAAAACAUUGAGUGUCUGCUCUGUACAUGUGCAGGUGUAUGCCAGACUGCCACAUGUCAUUUAUACCAGUUGGGUUUUUUCCUUAAUAUAACAGUGGUAUAAUUUUUAAAGGGUUUUACACUGCUUGAGUUAAAAAGUAGCUCAUUAGAAAUCCUUUUAAGAAAGGAUGCCUGCUUUCAAAAUUAUUAGUUGCUUUUGGCAGCAGGAAUUCAUAGUUAUGAUUGGCAAUAAGUUUGAGGGAUGUUACUUGCUAAGUUUUAACAGGUAGUUUUUAGAUUUAUUUCUCCAAAUGUAAAUACUGUCUUGUUUUAGAAUGCUGAAACAAGGCUUGAAGUGGAUUAUAUAGUAAAGUUACCCUAGUUCAUGCAGUGUGGCUGUUACCUCUGUCAUCUAGAAUGGGAAUUGUGUGUCCUUACUUAUAGUAUUUCUGUAAUAGACCACCAGAAAAUGACUUUCAGUUACAAUUGCACAAGUAGUUCCCAUACAGGUAAUUAAUUUUUGUUCUGCAUAGGUGUUACAUUAAGGAAUAGGGCUUCAUAGUUACAAGGAAGGAAGCAGUAUUCCAUGUCUAGUGUUAAUGAAUGAAGGUUCCAGGCUCCUUUUAAUCUUAGGAAUAAAUAAAUUUGCUAUUAGACUUUUAUCACUUGAUUUUUACACUUGAGAUUCUCUUGGUUUCCUCUUAAUAUCUCAAACAAUUUUGCAUAUUAAAGUUUGAAGGUAAUUCUUCUGUUUUAGCUUGUAUUUCAGAUGGUGUUGGAAAAUGCUAGUGGUAAGCUAUAUGGAGACAAUUUGCCAAUUAUCUAUGCUCCUAAAACUGCAUAGAUUGCUUAUUUAUCUGAAAGUAUACAGACUACAAAUAGUUUUAGUCACUGGAAUUGAACUUUAUUAUAUAUAUGGCUGCUGUUGACAUAACUAGUUUAUUUUCAUGAUAUAUUUGGAACAUGAUAUAAUAAUAUGAAAAAUUUUUUAUAGUAAAAUAGUUUGCUACUAGUUAGAGUUAAGAUGCAUAACUAAGGCCUUCAACCAUUUUUUUCCAUAUUUUUAUUGGUGCAUUAUAAUUGUACCAAAUGGUGAGAUCUGUUGCAUAUACGUACAUGCACAUAAUAUAAGCAUAUAAUUUGGCCAGAAUUCCCCAGUAUUUCUGACUUCCCUCCUUUGCCUCCCCUUUUCUUUACUUGACUGAUUGUCCUACAGUUUUCAUGAUAUUCCUCCUCUCCCCAUCACCUCAUUUACUUUAGUAAAUGGGACUGUACAGACCAGAGAAAUCUGAUGUUGUAAUUUCUGACUGUAUGUGUAGAUCUUGAUAUUUACAUCCGAGAAUAUCAAAAUGAACAUGGUUAUGAAGAUGUUAAAUUUUGUUUGAGAUGCUCCUAAAUAAACUUAAGUUAUAUUAAUAGGUUUAACCCUUUUUUCCCCUACAAAUUUCCAGAGUAAUAAUAAUCAAAACCAACUUUUUUAACUACAAUUUUAAAUUGGUUUAGCAAUGUUUUUAUGCAUUGCUCUGUCAAGAAGGAAUAACAAACCAUAAGUCUUCCAUUCAUAGAAUUCUAGUUUGUUUUCUUUCUUUUUUGUGUGUGUGUUUCCUGUUAUGAUUAACUAACCUAAAGGAGCAUUUAGGAGUUCACUUCUGACUUACGUGAUCUUUUUCAUGAUAUUUACCACUUAAGUGUUGAUGUUGCAAUAUUCUUAUAUGCUUAUAGGGAAUAGUGACGCUGAAGGAUGAAAUGUUUUGAGUCUAGUCCAGGGUUGAAUAAAAAGGGAAAGGAUAGGGUGGUUAUAGGUAUACAUCUAAACGUUUGUGCUACACAGUCUCUGGCAGAAUUUGGGAAUCCACUAUUGUAGGGAUUUUGUAAUUCAUGGGUCUGAAGCAAAGCAUCCCUCUUGUUUUUUUUUCUUUGAACAUUCUGGUCAAAGUGUUAGUACAGCCUUAUAGCCCCACUUUCAGAGGAAGUGUGGAGGAGGAACAUAAAGUAUACUCUGUAGACAUUUUUAAAGAAAAUCAAACUGGGCAUUCAUCUUUUUUGUCUCAUUAUUCUAUAGAGAGAGAAUAUUUUUUAUGCUAUUAUGAAACGCUUGACAAUUAGAGCCUAUAUUAUGAAGGCCAUUUAUGACUGUUCCUAAUGAUAGAAGGAUGGCUAAGUACAGGCCAGACCUCUGAUAUCCUAGAGGAUUACCAGGAUAGGAGAAAACAGUUGUCUUAAUAGGAUUUCUGUAUUUGGAGAAUAUUACAUUAAGCAUUACUUAGUUGAAAUUGUUAGCAUUGAUAGAAGACAUUCACCUAUCGGUACAUUUAAUUUGAAUGAUUCUUUAGAUGGUCAUUUCCAAAGUUUUUUUUAUAACAUUCUCUUAAAAUGCUUUUGCAUAUGUUUUCAUGAAAAUUACUGUAUAUUCAAAAAGCACAUGGUAUAUAUUACAUAAGCAAAUCUCCAUAUAUUGGAAUACACUAAAAAUUUUAUUGAUGGGGAUGAAUGUUCAAAAUGUUUAGAGACUAUUUCUCAUCACUCAAGUAGGUAUUUGCUCACCCAAGAAUAAUUCAUAAUUAUGUUUUUUUCUUAAGUGAUAAGUCUUAAAAUGAGAAGAGAAUUAUAAUUUUAGCUUACCUGUUCUUAUUUGUAAAAUUAAGUCAUCUUAAUAGUCAACAGAUAUCCAAAAUUGAGUGUAAUUGCUAAUUCAAAGACAAUAUUGUUCUUAUAUUUUCAAGAAUGUAUUGCUAUGUGUGGAAAUUCACAUUUUAUCUUUCGUAGAAUUUUUUUUGUAAAAUAUUAGGUACUUGGUGACAUUGAUAUGUAUGGUUCUAAGGGAACUGAAUUAUUGAAGUCAUAGAUUGGUAAUUAAAUUAUUUUUAGUAGUCAUGGUUAAGCCAGAAUUUCCUGUUUUCUUUUUUCCUUUUGUUUUGAGCCAUUCCUAAAUUUUUGGACCUCAUUUGAGAGGAUUCCUAAAAUGGACAUAAGCCUUAUUUCAUUAGACUUGAAAAUUGCACUAUAAGUAGGAUUGAAUAUAUUUUCUAGUUUUCCUGAUUUAUGACUCUUUCAUCCCCUCAAGUCAAUAGAUUGAAUGACGUUGUAUUUCUUAGAAUUGCACUUGGGAACCUUCAGGUUAUCAGUACAUAUUCUUACUGAACCAUUCAACAACUGGAUGAGGUUGACAAGAAGGUCAGUAUUUUUUAAUCUUUAUUUUAUGGAUAUCAAAAACUAAGCUUAAUUUUCCCUAAGCCUGACAGCUAAUGGACUAUUUGAACAAAAGGCCUUUCUGAACCCAAAACUCGAGUGCUUAACUAUUGGUAUAUCAUUUUAUUUUCCUUGUUGGAAUAUGUUUGAGUUCCCUUUACUACUUGGCCAUCUUUGGUCAUUUUCAGUAUGGAAACUCUGUCCGCCCAGGAGAUGGAUAACUGUACCACUAGGCUUCUUUCUUUGAGGAAGUUAGGAUUUAUUGUGAAGAAUACUAGUCUUAGAAGGAUGAGUUGGAAUCUUGGCUUGUGACUUUGGAGCAGUUAGCUAGUCAGUCUCUGAACCCAUCACUCCAUAUAUAAACAUGGGGGUAAUAAUAUAUGUUCUCAAGAUCAAAUAAACAUGAAAACAUGAAAGGUUGGAUUUUUUUGGAAUUUGAAUUCUUUAUCAAUUAAAUAUAGCAGACUUUUUUUCUUGAAAAUUUUGAUCAUAUUGUGAUUAUAUUUGAUGUCUUGAAAGUCUGCUUUAGUCUGUGGCUACAAGAAAAAUGCUGUGUUUUUGAAAUAAUAUAGGAAGAAAAAUGAGUUGUCCUUUUGCAGGAUGGAAAUAUAGAUGACUUAGGGCUUGCAUAUCUAUUUUACAGGUUUUUCUGAGUGGGUUUCUUAAUAUGUGGUUUUCCUCUCCCCCCACCCCUCAAUAAAAUAGAAGGAAUCCUUGGGAUCCUUUGUCUAUAUUGAAGACACUUAAGUUGCAAGUUUAAGAAAUGGCCCCACAAAUGUUAACAGUGUAGCCCUGUACAAAGCAGUUGUGCCUGCCUCCAUUUUGUUGCUUAAUCCUCUCUAACCAUUUGCUAUAGGAAGGAAGGAAGUUAACUUUUCCCAGGGUUUGCAGUCCUUCAAGUCAUUUGUAUUUGGCCAUGCUUUUACAAGAAACUUUCAGUUAUUUUCAAACAGGACUCAGUGGUGCCCAAUCUCUUCUUAAUCUAGAGUGGUCUGAGUACUUCCUUCACUGGAAAGAAAAGCAGCCUUUUAUAAGUUAUCAGUUGGGGUUUGAGUUUCUUCUUGUAAUGUAACCUGAUGCAACAUUUGCCUGAAUCACUAAUAAUGUAAUUGAUUUCCACCAGUCAAUCAUAAAUGAGUCAGUGACCACGGGUUCCUUUGGUUUAAACUCAAGUCCUUUUCCCUACGUGAUGAUAAUCCUCAUUGAAUACUUGCUGCUGGCUUGUAUAGCAUUACCGCAUACCUUGGUGAAGUAGAUACCCAGCCAUCAGGGCUUCAUGUUAAUUUAUUUUGCAAUGAUAUAGGAAACAAAGGGCACCAUUCAUAAAAGAACUUCAAGGGACUUGAAGGCAGAAUUCCCUUUGGCCCUUCAGCAAUCUUGCUUCUUACAAACCCCUGUGUGGUUCAGGACCUGCUUGGAGUUGUGUGUGGCUUUGUCAUCAGGCAGUCACUGUGCUCCUGUUAUGUUUAACAUUGUGAUGUGAAAAUAUGAGUUUGGAACUAAUUAGAAGAAGGUUAGGUAGCCUGUGUUGUCCCUUGAGACACUAGUUAUGGUUAUAGAGUUGGGGUUGGAGCCUUUGUAUGAUAUUGAAACACUAGAUAAAAGCUCAUUUCCUUGAGUCCCAGAUUCUUGCAUUUCCCCACUACCAUGUAAGUCUCCGAGUUUUUUAAUUCUCUUAGGAUCUUUUCUGAGUGUUAAAAUGACUGAUGUUUCGUCCCGGGUCUGCCAGCUGUACCUCUCAUGUUCAUUGAAAAAAUACUUGGGAGUGUCUGUUCCAAACGAUUGCCUGGUUAAGCACUGUGGAUGCAAAACUAAGUCACUGUCCCUGUUCUCAAGCAGUUUGGAGCUUGGUAGCAGAGAGCAUUGCUAAGGAAAAGAAGAUGGUGGAGUGGUGUGGUGGAUAUGAAUGCCACAGAAAACUUUGCCAGAAAAAGGGACCUGGAGCUGAAAUCAGAGAUGAUUUAAGUGGAGAAGGCAGGAAGAGGGAAGUAUAUGCACAAACUCUGUCUGGAGAGUGAUUGUGAAGGGGAGGGGUUGAAGGAAGACCCGUGCCACUAGGGUGGAGAGGAGCUUUGAGAGUGAGUCCGAGGGCAGGCUUUAGGUAGAGUAGCCAUAUAAUUUGAUGGAUAAAUUUAUCAACCAAAUUGUGACUUUUUGCAGUAAAAACAGAUGCUGUUAAUUAAGCGCAGACUAUAAAACAUCAGCCAGAACAUAUACAUAUGGUCACUUCCUUUUUUAGGUUAAUUUUUAAAAAUUUUUUAGAUAUAUAUGACAGUAGAGUGUAUUUUGACAUAUUACACAUACAUGGUGUAUAACUUAUUGUAAUUAGGAUGCACUUUACUUUCAAAGGCCAUGUAUGUUAACAGUAUUAUCUGGUUUUUUUUGUUUGUUUUGGGGGGAUUGAACCUACGAUGCUUUACCACUGAGCUACAUUCCCAGUCCUUUUUAUUUAUGUAUUUAUUUUUGAGGCACAAUUUUGCUAAAUUGCUGAGGCGGGUCUCAAACUUGGUGAUCCUUCUGCCUCAGCCUCUCAAGUCACAAGUAACUGUUUAGUAUUACCUCUUUUUGUUUCUUGGGGUUUUUUUGUUUUGUUUUGGUACCAGGGAUGGAUGUUUAGCAAUGGAGCCAUAUUCCCACCCCUUUUUAUUUUUUAUUUUGAGACAGGGUCUUGCUUAAUUGCUGAGUCUAGCCUCAAAUUUGCAAUCCUCCUGCCUCAGCCUCCCAAGUUGCUGGGAUUAUAGGUGUGCACCACAGUGCAGCAUUACUUGUUUUCAAAGGCUUUACAACCAGCAGUGUAUGUUACUUCCUAGUUAAUAUAUUGAGGAAUUAGAAUACUUUACCUUGUCCAAAUGAACACAAUGAAUAUUCAAAGGGUGUGUUUUCCCAGACAGCUAUGUUGUAUGAUUUGUUCUGGUAUACAUUAAAUGACUAAUGUUUUUAAGGUUUGGCAUAAAAAGAUGGGCUUUACUCUGAGGUACUAGAUGGACUAGAGUCAUUUUAGAGUCACUGUCAAUAGUGUAUGAAAGAGUAUAAUUCAAAUACCUUGAAUAUUUUUCAUUUAUUUUUUGUUAGGACAUUUGUCAUUUUUGCAAAGAUGUUUAAUUUCUAUUCUAAGCUUACAUUUUAACUGUUAAUUACCUCCUGACCAUAACUUUCAAGUAUGAGGCAUUUUUUUUUCUUCAAAUUGAUGGGGAAAUCUUCUAUAUAGUUAAAUAAACAGAGAGAGCUCAGGGAAUUUUGCACACCCAUAUAAUCCACACCCUGAUCGAGAGAUAAAACAUUUUUAUCACCCCAGAAAAUUCCCUUUGGGGGCACUUAAAAUUUGAUUUUUAAGAAAUAUGAGUGUGGAGCCAGAACUCAAAUUAGAAAUGAGUUGUUUUUCUUCUCCUCUUUAUAACUUUAUUUUUGCUUCCUAAACAUGUAGCAAUAGUUACUUUAAACAUGAAACAAACUGUCGCCAGAACAAACCAUUGCUUUUCAACUAGUUAUGAUUUAGUGGUUACUAAUAUAGUACAUCCCUACCCAAUUUGUUAUGUCUUUUUAGGCCUUUAAAGUGAGGAGUCAAGACUGAGUCAUAUCCCUAGCACUGACUCACAAACAGUCCUAAGAUUUUGGAAUCUUGGUCAAUCGAAAAAGACUGUGAUAAUACCACAUUUAUAUAAUACUUCUCCAUGCUCCUUUUUCUUAGCUUGAUGGUCACUCUGUAGUCGCUUUUACAGAUAGGAAGACCAGUGUCCAGCCUAUAUAUGUAGCUAAGUCCCAGCCUUGAGCGUUUCUUUUCAUCUCAGUUUUUAGCACCAAUUGCCAAAGAACAGUUAGAAUAUUGACCUAAGUCACAACAAAAUUUGUUGCAAAGUUGAUUCAGCUGACUCAUGGGUCACUAAAGAUUCUUGAAUCAGAGACAGAAAGAUUUGCCCCUCAAUAGAUUGUUCAUAAUUAGUUUGAGAUCCACUGAGGGACAGGGAAAGGGGAUAGCUUCUCAGUGAUGGGGAUGGGUUCACUUUUUUUCGGGGUAGGUUUAAUAUUCUGAUUGGAACCUGAUCUGGAAUCAGAUCUUGAAUGAACUACUUUUUUCUGAAAAGACAAUGUGUUCUUCUUAGCAAAUCCUCUGCUGCUAAAGCAGUGGUGCUUUGGGACAGUGGUGGUAGUGGAUGUGGGUGGUUUGCGGCAUUUUUUUUUCUCUCAGUGCAAUAAUAUUUAAUAUUUUCAGUAUCAAUUGUACUUUGUUUUUCCCCUCCAUUCCAUUUUAGAAAAAAUGGCAAAUCAGUGAAAAAUGUAAGAGAGGUUAAAGCCAUAAUUGCUUAGUAGUAAAACUUGUCAACCUGUUGCCAAUUGGAGAAGCCCCAGUUGUGGAUUUUACUCUGAUAUCACUAGCAGGUUCAUUCUGUAUUUUUAAAAAAUAAGGGAAAUGUCAAUGUGUUGCUUCAUUUUAUGCAUUUUGAGGACAGCUCCUCCUUCACUCCUAUCUCAGGCUUUAUACAGGCAAGUUUUCUGAUGUCAC